rnacentral:rRNA from 1 species
AUUGAACGCUGGCGGCAGGCCUAACACAUGCAAGUCGAGCGGAUGAAGGGAGCUUGCUCCUGGAUUCAGCGGCGGACGGGUGAGUAAUGCCUAGGAAUCUGCCUGGUAGUGGGGGAUAACGUCCGGACACGGGCGCUAAUCCCGCAUACGUCCUGAGGGAGAAAGUGGGGGAUCUUCGGACCUCACGCUAUCAGAUGAGCCUAGGUCGGAUUAGCUAGUUGGUGGGGUAAAGGCCUACCAAGGCGACGAUCCGUAACUGGUCUGAGAGGAUGAUCAGUCACACUGGAACUGAGACACGGUCCAGACUCCUACGGGAGGCAGCAGUGGGGAAUAUUGGACAAUGGGCGAAAGCCUGAUGCAGCCAUGCCGCGUGUGUGAAGAAGGUCUUCGGAUUGUAAAGCACUUUAAGUUGGGAGGAAGGGCAGUAAGUUAAUACCUUGCUGUUUUGACGUUACCAACAGAAUAAGCACCGGCUAACUUCGUG